GAUGAACGCUGGCGGCGUGCCUAAUACAUGCAAGUAGAACGAACAGGCAGGAGCCUUCCUCCUCUGACGAUAUGCGCGCGGGGGUGAGAAGCGCGUGGAUCACGUCCCUAUGCGACGGGGAUCACUUCGAAAAGCUAGCGAUAAUACCAUAUAAUAUAUUGAACCACGAGGUUCACUAAUAAGAUGCAGUUUUAUCACUACUAGUUGAUGCAUCGUCGCGUCAUUUGCUAGUUGGUAAGGUAACGGCAUACCAAGGCAACGAAUAGUAGCCGACCUGGGAGGGUGAUCGGCCACACGGGAACUGAGACACGGUCCAGCCUCCUACGGGAGGAAGCAGUAGGGAACUUUGCGAAAUGGGCGAAAGCCUGACGGACCAACGCCGCGUGAUUGAUGAAGGUCUUCGGAUCGAAAAAUUCUGUGAUUAGGGAAGAACAAAUGGGUAAGUAAAUAUGCACGUCGUGACGGUAUCUAAUCAGAAAGCCACGGCUAACUACGUG
rnacentral:rRNA from 1 species